CCGCAUAAUGCCUUCGGGCCAAAGAGGGGGACCUUCGGGCCUCUCGCGUCAGGAUAUGCCCAGGUGGGAUUAGCUAGUUGGUGAGGUAAGGGCUCACCAAGGCGACGAUCCCUAGCUGGUCUGAGAGGAUGAUCAGCCACACUGGAACUGAGACACGGUCCAGACUCCUACGGGAGGCAGCAGUGGGGAAUAUUGCACAAUGGACGCAAGCCUGAUGCAGCCAUGCCGCGUGUAUGAAGAAGGCCUUCGGGUUGUAAAGUACUUUCAGUCGUGAGGAAGGCAGUGUAGUUAAUAGCUGCAUUGCUUGACGUUAGCGACAGAAGGAGCACCGGCUAACUCCGUG
rnacentral:rRNA from 1 species